rnacentral:rRNA from 1 species
CCGCAUAAUACCCACGGGUCAAAGGAGCAAUUCGCUUCAGGAGGGGGUCGCGGCCGAUUAGUUAGUUGGCGGGGUAAUGGCCCACCAAGACGAUGAUCGGUAUCCGGCCUGAGAGGGCGCACGGACACACUGGAACUGAAACACGGUCCAGACUCCUACGGGAGGCAGCAGUGGGGAAUUUUGCGCAAUGGGGGAAACCCUGACGCAGCAACGCCGCGUGGAGGAUGAAGUCCUUCGGGACGUAAACUCCUUUCGAUCGGGACGAUUAUGACGGUACCGGAAGAAGAAGCCCCGGCUAACUUCGUGCCAGCAGCCGCGGUAAUACGAGGGGGGCGAGCGUUGUUCGGAAUUAUUGGGCGUAAAGGGUGCGUAGGCGGUUUGGUAAGUCUUGUGUGAAAUCUACAGGCUCAACUUGUAGUCUGCACGAGAAACUGCCGGGCUUGAGUGUGGGAGAGGUGAGUGGAAUUCCUGGUGUAGCGGUGAAAUGCGUAGAUAUCAGGAGGAACACCUGUGGCGAAAGCGGCUCACUGGACCACAACUGACGCUGAUGCACGAAAGCUAGGGGAGCAAACAGGAUUAGAUACCCUGGUAGUCCUAGCCCUAAACGAUGACUGCUUGGUGUGACGGGUAC